rnacentral:lncRNA from 1 species
GACAUGAUAUUGUUGAUAAUUGAUAGUUACAUAUAUGUCUCCUUGGUAUAUAUUGAGGUAGACAUGAUAUUGUUUUGCCCUUUCUGUCACACAGUUAAGCCAUUCUAGUCUAUCAGUUCUUCAUAAAAGUUGUUAUGAGUUCUCCUAUCUUCAGAUUACUCUUCAAUGCACAACAAAACUUGACACAAUUGCCUCAUAAAUUGUAAAACUGC